GAUGAACGCUGGCGGCGUGCCUAAUACAUGCAAGUCGAGCGAACAGACGAGGAGCUUGCUCCUCUGACGUUAGCGGCGGACGGGUGAGUAACACGUGGAUAACCUACCUAUAAGACUGGUAUAACUUCGGGAAACCGGAGCUAAUACCGUAUAAUAUAUUGAACCGCAUGGUUCAAUAGUGAAAUACGGUUUUUCUGUCACUUAUAGAUGGAUCCGCGCCGCAUUAGCUAGUUGGUAAGGUAACGGCGUACCAAGGCAACGAUGCGUAGCCGACCUGUGAGGGGGAUCGGCCACACUAGAACUGAGACACGGUCAAGACUCCUACGGGAGGCAGCAGUAGGGAAUCUUACGCAAUGGGCGGAAGCCUGACGGAGCAACGCCGCGUGAGUGAUGAAGGUCUUCGGAUCGUAAAACUCUGUUAUUAGGGAAGAACAAAUGUGUAAGUAACUAUGCACGUCUUGACGGUACCUAAUCAGAAAGCCACGGCUAACUACGUG
rnacentral:rRNA from 1 species